rnacentral:rRNA from 1 species
AACGUAGGACGCAAGCGUUAUCCGGAGUUACUGGGCGUAAAGCGCGGGCAGGCGGUCUUGCCAGUCUGAUGUGAAAUCUCUCAUGGGAGCAGCCAUUGGAAACUACAAGACUGGAGUCUGACAGAGGUAGGCGGAAUUCCGGGUGGAGUGGUGAAAUGCGUAGAGAUCCGGAGGAACACCAGAGGCGAAGGCGGCCUACUGGGUCAGUACUGACGCUCAUGCACGAAAGCGUGGGGAGCAAACAGG